rfam:Choloepus hoffmanni cont1.115870, whole genome shotgun sequence.
UAACAGUCUCCUUCAAAAUGCAGCUUAACUGAUUCAUGGCAAAAAAAAAAAAAAAAAAAAAAAAAAAAAAAAAAAAAAAGCUGGAAUAAGCCUGCCAGGUAUUAAAAGCUUUAAAAUUAAUCAUCUUGAACUUGAUACAAUAUAGUACAGCACUUUGAAAAUGAAUCAUCUGCUAGUUCAGUAUUUUCUAAUUACAAUCACUCCCUCUCAAGGCAGGUAAUUAAUUUAUUGAGCUUUAAAAAAAAAAAAA